GAGGAAUAUGUCCGAGAGGGAAGUGUCGACAGCGCCGGCGGGAACAGACAUGCCUGCAGCCAAGAAGCAGAAGCUGAGCAGCGACGAGAACAGCAACCCGGACCUCUCUGGAGACGAGAAUGAUGAUGCUGUCAGUAUAGAAAGUGGUACAAACACUGAACUCCCUGAUACACCUACAAACACGCCAAAUGCACCUGGAAGGAAAAGUUGGGGAAAGGGAAAAUGGAAGUCAAAGAAAUGCAAAUAUUCUUUCAAAUGUGUAAAUAGUCUCAAGGAAGAUCAUAACCAACCAUUGUUUGGAGUUCAGUUUAACUGGCACAGUAAAGAAGGAGAUCCAUUAGUAUUUGCAACUGUUGGAAGCAACAGAGUUACCUUAUAUGAAUGUCAUUCACAAGGUGAAAUCUGGUUGUUGCAAUCUUAUGUGGAUGCUGAUGCUGAUGAAAACUUUUACACUUGUGCUUGGACCUAUGAUAGCAAUACAAGCCAUCCUCUGUUGGCUGUAGCUGGAUCCAGAGGCAUAAUUAGGAUAAUUAAUCCUAUAACAAUGCAGUGUAUAAAGCACUAUGUUGGCCAUGGAAAUGCUAUCAAUGAGCUGAAAUUCCACCCAGGAGAUCCAAAUCUUCUCCUGUCAGUAAGUAAAGAUCAUGCUUUAUGAUUAUGGAAUAUCCAAACGGACACUCUGGUGGCAAUAUUUGGAGGUGUAGAAGGGCACAGAGAUGAAGUUCUAAGUGCUGAUUAUGAUCUUUUGGGUGAAAAAAUAAUGUCUUGUGGUAUGGAUCACUCUCUUAAACUUUGGAGGAUCAAUUCAAAGAGAAUGAUGAAUGCAAUUAAGGAAUCUUAUGAUUAUAACCCAAAUAAAACUAACAGGCCAUUUAUUUCUCAGAAAAUCCAUUUUCCUGAUUUUUCUACCAGAGACAUACAUAGGAAUUAUGUUGAUUGUGUGCGAUGGUUAGACGAGUUGAUACUUUCUAAGUCUUGUGAAAAUGCCAUUGUGUGCUGGAAACCAGGCAAAAUGGAAGAUGAUAUAGAUAAAAUUAAACCCAGUGAGUCUAAUGUGACUAUUCUUGGGCGAUUUGAUUAUAGCCAGUGUGACAUUUGGUACAUGAGGUUUUCUAUGGAUUUCUGGCAAAAGAUGUACAACACUGACCCAUCAUAAAUGUGGUGCUGCUAUUCGACAAACCAGUUUUAGCAGGGAUAGCAGCAUUCUCAUAGUUGUCUGUGAUGAUGCCAGUAUUUGGCGCUGGGAUCGACUUCGAUAAAAUACUUCUGCAUAAUCAAAGUUAGUGUGUGUUGUCUGUAUAAAAUAGAAUUAAUGUAUCAUGCUAGUAAGGGCACAUAGAGCAUUUUAGAGUUGUCUUUCAGCAUUCAAUCAGGCUGAGCUGAAUGUAGUGAUGUUUACAUUGUUUACAUUCUUUGUACUGUCUUCCUGCUCAGACUCUACUGCUUUUAAUAAAAAU